AGAUGUGAGAGUGAUCUGGCUGCGACAUCUGUCACCCCAUUGAUCGCCAGGGUUGAUUCGGCUGAUCUGGCUGGCUAGGCAGGUGUCCCCUUCUUCUCUCACCGCUCCAUGUGUGUCCCUCACGAAGCUGCGUGCUCGGUCGAAGAGGACGGCGACAGACUGGUCUUCAGUCGAGGGCAUACGAGUAGCUGAGCUCCCCUGCUAGAACCUCCAAACAAGCUCUCAAGAAUGAUGGUGUCACAUUCUUCACCUCAUCUUGGAUGAAGUUUGAAGGAAUCAUGUUAAGUGAGAUAAGCCAGAAAGAAAA
rnacentral:snRNA from 1 species